UACGUAGGGACCAAGCGUUGUUCGGAUUUACUGGGCGUAAAGGGCGCGUAGGCGGCUUGACAAGUCACUUGUGAAAUCUCCGGGCUUAACUCGGAACGGCCAAGUGAAACUGUCAUGCUAGAGUGCAGAAGGGGCAAUCGGAAUUCUUGGUGUAGCGGUGAAAUACGUAGAUAUCAAGAGGAACACCUGAGGUGAAGACGGGUUGCUGGGCUGACACUGACGCUGAGGCGCGAAAGCCAGGGGAGCAAACGGG
rnacentral:rRNA from 1 species